rnacentral:rRNA from 1 species
GCUUACACAUGCAAGUCGAACGAGCUCUUCGGAGCUAGUGGCAGACGGGUGAGUAACGCGUGGGAAUCUACCCAGUUCUCUGGAAUAACUGAUGGAAACGUCAGCUAAUACCGGAUACGCCCUUUUGGGGAAAGAUUUAUCGGGAUUGGAUGAGCCCGCGUAAGAUUAGCUAGUUGGUGGGGUAAUGGCCUACCAAGGCGACGAUCUUUAGCUGGUCUGAGAGGAUGAUCAGCCACACUGGGACUGAGACACGGCCCAGACUCCUACGGGAGGCAGCAGUGGGGAAUAUUGGACAAUGGGGGCAACCCUGAUCCAGCCAUGCCGCGUGAGUGAUGAAGGCCUUAGGGUUGUAAAGCUCUUUCACCGGUGAAGAUAAUGACGGUAACCGGAGAAGAAGCCCCGGCUAACUUCGUGCCAGCAGCCGCGGUAAUAC